AUCCCGGCCCCUCCUCCGCCAGCCGCGUCCUCCCGGGCUUGGUGAGGAACUGUUCCUGGAGGAGCCGCGGGACGCCAAAACCAGCCAAUGGGAAGCGGCGAUUCGCGGAGAUUGGCACUGAUGAUGGGAAGGAAUAUUGAUCUCAGCGUUACUUUGACCAUUAAUGAAUUAUGAUGGCAAUAAGCAAAGAUUCGCACCUCUAGCCUCCGGGGAGCUUAAUCUUCUGCUACAACAUUUGCAUUUGGUGUCUCUCUACUGCUCAGGCUGGAGUGCAGUGGUGCGAUCAUAGCUCACUGCAGCCUCGACUUCCUGGGCUCAGGUGACCCUCUCGCCUGAAACCAUAUUCCCCCUCAAGUAGCUGAGACUACAGAGACAAGGUCUCACUAUGUUGCCUAGGCUGGUCUUCAACUCCUGGCCUGAAGUUAUCCUCUCAUCUUGGACUGCCAAAGUGCUGGGAUUUGGCACCACUGAGCCAAAUCCCAGGCGUGAGCCACUGAGCCUGGGCUGUUCUUCCUUCUUUAUAGGCUUAAAAACCUUCAAAAAUUAUCUCAAGAUUAUCCACUCCAGGAAGAACUUGAGCCUCAUUGAUUGAAUUGGUGUACUUCUCCUCCCUUCCUAUAGCAUUUUCUUUAUGUGUCUAUCCUAGCACUUCUCACACAGUGUUGAAUUCAUCUGUCCACCUGGCUCAUCAUACAAAUUGUUCCAUGAGUUCAAGGAUCAUGCUGCAUGCUGGAUUCCCCCGGAAGCUGAUUCUGAGAUGGAGUUUAGUGUACUAAAUAUUUAUGUGGGCCUUUGGAUCAUCACCUGUGAAAAGGAAGAGAAGGAAGCAGGAGUGGACCUAGGGUGAAGUGAAGCUCUGAUGCAAACCUGACAACUGCCUCACCUGACACCAUGAAGAGCUCUGGAGCUAGAAUGGCCUUUUGUUGUUCUGAAUUGGUGUGAGGUAGCUAGGUCUUUACACCCCUGCCACCACCCAUUAUUGGGUAUGGGCCAACCAGGAAGGGGCAUGACCAUGAGUGAUGCAGCUCUGCAGCUGAAGCAAUAACUGAAGAGGCUGACAGCUGAGGGCCAUCUGCUGACAGUACUCCCUGCAGCUGGGCAGCACAUCCUUUCUCAAAAGGGGAUCAAGGCAGUUGCAUCUCCGUGUCCACCAUGGACUAUAUAUUUUUUCUUUGCAUUCCUAGGGCCUCCCAUAGUAUAUGGCACAUAGUAGGCAAAACUGGAGGUCUGUAGGGCAAAUUCAGCUAGUAGAUGAGUAUUGUUUUUUCACCCACAAAGAGAUUUUUAAAAAUUAGUUGUCAACAUUUAAAAAUAAAAAGAUUUCACAUUGAAA
rnacentral:lncRNA from 1 species